rnacentral:lncRNA from 1 species
AAGUUCCUCAAAGUUGGAGACGAUGACGACAGAGAGGAUGUUGCAUUAUUUUAAAAUUUGUUUAUUUCUUUUAAAAAUAAACUUAGUUGAAAAUGUGAAACAGCUAGGCUUCAAACUUGGGAUCUCGAGUAUCAACUACUAAGCGCUUUACAACUUGCGCCAGGGAUGGUCGGUAAAAAGAAUUAUACUAUUUGAACAAAUAUUAUAC